CCUGCACAGGGUGGAACACAAUCUGCACAUGAUGAAGAUCGUGGUGUGCAUCCCAGUAUUGGAGAGCAUGUAGACCAUGGUGAGCAAGUUGAGCAUGACCCAGGUAGACAACAUCAAGAACGUGAUGGGGACCCACCAGGCAAAGAGGACCAUUGUUAUUUCUUUAAAUGAAUUUAAUUGCAAUUGGUGUAUUGAUUAAUGUAACCUUUCGUGUUUCAACUCCAGAGGAUUUAGAGGGUGUUUAGGAUGUUGAGGAUGAGGCUAGUCAAAAUGAUCAGGAAGAUGAUGUGGCCCCAUCAGACCCCCCUUUGCAUACACGUCCUCAUUGUGAGUACAAGACUAGGCAUACAUUAACUAGAUCACGAGCAGAGGGCAGAAGAACUGAAGAGGGGACAAAUGAUGAAGAAAACGAUCGUCCACUUAGUCUUUACCUCUAAGCUUCAAAAAGAAAGAAAAAAAUGAUUGUAAU